UUUAAGAAGAUUUGCAGAAAUAGGCAUUUUGGCUGCUCAGCUAGCUACCUAUACCGCGAUUUGAAGGAUAUAUGGUGAAGGCAAUGAAGACAAUAUUGAGCAUAUUGGUUGAUGUACCACAUUUUGAAGGAACGAAUGAGUAACAAGUGUUAACUCAUUUGAAUCAUUGUUGUGAUAGAAUUUAUUUUGUAACGGAUAUGGUAGAAUUGAUUGGGUUGAACUUAAGUUGUAAUGAAUAUUGAAAUUUUAAGAAAUGAUUGUGUUGCAAUGAAUAUGAUUUGUUAAGUUUUUAUUUAAAUAUUAAAUUUUUGAAAAAGAAAAAAA